rnacentral:rRNA from 1 species
GGUCAAGUGAAGAAGCGCAUACGGUGGAUGCCUUGGCAGUCAGAGGCGAUGAAAGACGUGGUAGCCUGCGAAAAGCUUCGGGGAGUCGGCAAACAGACUUUGAUCCGGAGAUGUCUGAAUGGGGGAACCCAGCCAUCAUAAGAUGGUUAUCUUGUACUGAAUACAUAGGUGCAAGAAGCGAACCAGGGGAACUGAAACAUCUAAGUACCCUGAGGAAAAGAAAUCAACCGAGAUUCCCUUAGUAGUGGCGAGCGAACGGGGACUAGCCCUUAAGUGGCUUUGAGAUUAGCGGAACGCUCUGGAAAGUGCGGCCAUAGUGGGUGAUAGCCCUGUACGCGAAAAUCUCUUAGUCAUGAAAUCGAGUAGGACGGAGCACGAGAAACUUUGUCUGAAUAUGGGGGGACCAUCCUCCAAGGCUAAAUACUACUGACUGACCGAUAGUGAACUAGUACCGUGAGGGAAAGGCGAAAAGAACCCCGGAGAGGGGAGUGAAAUAGAUCCUGAAACCGUAUGCGUACAAGCAGUGGGAGCCCACUUUGUUGGGUGACUGCGUACCUUUUGUAUAAUGGGUCAGCGACUUAUUUUCAGUGGCGAGCUUAACCGAAUAGGGGAGGCGUAGCGAAAGCGAGUCUUAAUAGGGCGUCUAGUCGCUGGGAAUAGACCCGAAACCGGGCGAUCUAUCCAUGGGCAGGUUGAAGGUUGGGUAACACUAACUGGAGGACCGAACCGACUACCGUUGAAAAGUUAGCGGAUGACCUGUGGAUCGGAGUGAAAGGCUAAUCAAGCUCGGAGAUAGCUGGUUCUCCUCGAAAGCUAUUUAGGUAGCGCCUCAUGUAUCACUGUAGGGGGUAGAGCACUGUUUCGGCUAGGGGGUCAUCCCGACUUACCAAACCGAUGCAAACUCCGAAUACCUACAAGUGCCGAGCAUGGGAGACACACGGCGGGUGCUAACGUCCGUCGUGAAAAGGGAAACAACCCAGACCGUCAGCUAAGGUCCCAAAGUUAUGGUUAAGUGGGAAACGAUGUGGGAAGGCUUAGACAGCUAGGAGGUUGGCUUAGAAGCAGCCACCCUUUAAAGAAAGCGUAAUAGCUCACUAGUCGAGUCGGCCUGCGCGGAAGAUGUAACGGGGCUCAAACCAUACACCGAAGCUACGGGUAUCACGUAAGUGAUGCGGUAGAGGAGCGUUCUGUAAGCCUGUGAAGGUGAGUUGAGAAGCUUGCUGGAGGUAUCAGAAGUGCGAAUGCUGACAUGAGUAACGAUAAUGGGUGUGAAAAACACCCACGCCGAAAGACCAAGGUUUCCUGCGCAACGUUAAUCGACGCAGGGUUAGUCGGUCCCUAAGGCGAGGCUGAAAAGCGUAGUCGAUGGAAAACAGGUUAAUAUUCCUGUACUUCUGGUUAUUGCGAUGGAGGGACGGAGAAGGCUAGGCCAGCUUGGCGUUGGUUGUCCAAGUUUAAGGUGGUAGGCUG